AAAGACACCCUGCUGCCACGAAGGAAUAGCAGCAAUAACAAAGCAGUGUCUUUAGUCCAUGUGUGUGUGUGUGUGUGUGUGAGUGAGCUAGGGUGCUGGCAUGGGAAAGAACUUUCCCAGAUCACAUUAUUAACAAUGAUUAUUAAUUAUGGGUAUUAUAUGAUAAUUAUAAUUAUUAUUGUAUAAUGUUAACUAUUCAUUAUUGACAACUAAUUAUUAUAAUCAAAUUAUUAACAAAUACUUUAAAGAGGUAGGAUUUGAACUCAGGUCCUCUUGAAUCCAAGGCUGGCCUCUCCAUCUACUACACUUGGGUACUUGUUGAGACACGUAUACGCAUGAACUUUGUGGUUGAUGAUUCAGGAGUUUAUAUAAUCUUCUAAACGACAUUGUCCUUAAAUACUCAGUCUUCCAGAUAACCGUCCCCUAUAACGAAUACAAUAUUGUCCAAAGACAAAAGAAAGUCGAUGCAAAAUCGGAAUCACUGAUCAGGGUAUCCAAAAAGCCUGAAAGCCUGCUCGUGGACCUUCCACCUCCUCCUCCUCGGAGUGGUGUAGACGUGCUUCUCGUCUCUCUUUGGCGCCACACUCGUCCUUUGGAAUUUGACAACAUUCACCAUUGAUUUGGGGCAGAACUUCAGCUCCUGGAGGGCAGGGACUCGAGCCCUCUUCUCCAGACCGGUGCCAGCUCUGGUGCUGUGGAAACACGGGCUGAACUACAUCUACAAGUAGAACAGGAUCAUUUGGCAAUGUCUGCUAGAAGCAAUGUGGCUUGUCUCUUAGCUCAUCCUCUGGCUUGGGGAGAGUCCCAGGCUCCACGGGUUUGUUUUUGCUGUUUCAGUGAAAUAAAUGCUCAUUAACAUCUGAUUAAAAGGACACGUCUGAAUGCCUAUGAAGGAUUGCCUAGAAGAAGAGCUCAUGUGUCACCGGGGUUUCUUGGGCCCAGCCCCUUCACUUUACAGAUGAGUUCACCAAAGUUAAAGGACUUACCCAGGGUCACACGGGUGGUGAGCCUCUCUCUCCUCCUCUGGCUGU